GUUUGAUCCUGGCUCAGGACGAACGCUGGCGGCGUGCUUAACACAUGCAAGUCGAACGGAAAGGCCCUGCUUUUGUGGGGUGCUCGAGUGGCGAACGGGUGAGUAACACGUGGGCAACCUGCCCAAAAGAGGGGGAUAACACUUGGAAACAGGUGCUAAUACCGCAUAACCAUAGUUACCGCAUGGUAACUAUGUAAAAGGUGGCUAUGCUACCGCUUUUGGAUGGGCCCGCGGCGCAUUAGCUAGUUGGUGAGGUAAAGGCUUACCAAGGCAAUGAUGCGUAGCCGAACUGAGAGGUUGAUCGGCCACAUUGGGACUGAGACACGGCCCAAACUCCUACGGGAGGCAGCAGUAGGGAAUCUUCCACAAUGGGCGAAAGCCUGAUGGAGCAACGCCGCGUGGGUGAAGAAGGUCUUCGGAUCGUAAAACCCUGUUGUUAGAGAAGAAAGUGCGUGAGAGUAACUGUUCACGUUUCGACGGUAUCUAACCAGAAAGCCACGGCUAACUACGUGCCAGCAGCCGCGGUAAUACGGAAGGUCCAGGCGUUAUCCGGAUUUAUUGGGUUUAAAGGGAGCGCAGGCGGACUCUUAAGUCAGUUGUGAAAUACGGCGGCUCAACCGUCGGACUGCAGUUGAUACUGGGAGUCUUGAGUGCACACAGGGAUGCUGGAAUUCAUGGUGUAGCGGUGAAAUGCUCAGAUAUCAUGAAGAACUCCGAUCGCGAAGGCAGGUAUCCGGGGUGCAACUGACGCUGAGGCUCGAAAGUGCGGGUAUCAAACAGGAUUAGAUACCCUGGUAGUCCACGCCGUAAACGAUGAAUGCUAAGUGUUGGAGGGUUUCCGCCCUUCAGUGCUGCAGCUAACGCAAUAAGCAUUCCGCCUGGGGAGUACGACCGCAAGGUUGAAACUCAAAGGAAUUGACGGGGACCCGCACAAGCGG
rnacentral:rRNA from 1 species